rnacentral:ncRNA from 1 species
CCCGCUGAACUUAAGCAUAUCAAUAAGCGGAGGAGAAGAAACCAACCAGGAUUCCCUCAGUAACGGCGAGUGAAGAGGGAGAAGCCCAGUGCCGAAGCCUGCGGCAGGUUUGUCGGUAGGCCAUGUGGUGUGCGGGUUGGCUGGCGGGACCGCCGCUCCACUCCAAGUCCAGCAUUGAGUAUGGUUGUGAGUGAAUGUGGCCCAUAGAGGGUGAUAGGCCCGUAGGAGUGGGGGCUCAGGCAGGUGAGGCGGUUCACCAGGCCGGCUCAGGAGUCGGGUUGUUUGAGAUUGCAGCCCAAAGUGGGUGGUAAACUCCAUCCAAGGCUAAAUACAGGCACGAGUCCGAUAGCGGACAAGUACCGUGU